rnacentral:SRP_RNA from 1 species
GAUUGGGUCUUGCGCAAUGGAAAUCCGUGAAUCGUGUCAGGUUGGGAACAAAGCAGCACUAAACAGAAA